rnacentral:sRNA from 15 species
GGUAACAUCGGAAGGGAUUUUAUUCUUAAUAAAUGGUAUGCUCUGCUGAGGAAUGACAUCAUCUAUGGGUAUAUUUCCUUAUAAACUCUCUAAAACCUUCUAUGUUUUCUCCUCAACUGGAAUCACCCUGUAUUACAGGCUACCCUGUAUUUCAUAAAUAUGGCAACGAGUGAUUCUCGUUCCAUUUCGAACCCGUUUUCGCAGAAAACACCCUGUACUGCACAUGAGAGUCCCCCCGUCAGAGCUCAAGCCCGAUUUAUUGAGUAAUUUUUGUCACACUGUCAUAAAUAUAAAUCCCAGUGACAGGCACAUAGGAUACGUGACAUACUCGCCUAUGCUCGAGUUUCUGCUCCAAUUCCUGCUUGAGAUCUUUCGAAUAUAUUACGAGCAAAUAUACUUGAAAGUAUACUUACGUCGAACACUUCAUUCACAAGUCUUGCAUCGUUGGGGAACGUUCGUAAUUAUUAGAAAUAUUUCAAUUCCAAACUUAAGCGAAUCGAUGCCAGCAGACAAAAGGAGGACCCGUGCAGGAUGAGCUACCAGGUGCAGAUUCCAUGUAGGCAUUCCUUCUGCCCCCCCUGUGCCGUACUCCCUUUGAAUAUUGUUUUCGUAAGCACCGCAAAUGCAUAAAAGUUGUCUUCCUAGAGGAAAAA